rnacentral:misc_RNA from 1 species
UUCAAUGCGUUAAACAGAAUGUUAAUGACAAGACAGCUGAGAGCGGAGCCGAUCGAAUUUGACAGCUGUCAAAUCAACUUGACAACUCGCAAUUCGACCGCGGAAUUCCGUUUGUGGGUGUGAUUAUUGAAUAUUCGCUUUAAUUAAAUCGAAAAAUAAUAUCGAAGUAGCAGUAAUUUUACAACUUUGUGAAUUAAAUAAUAUUCUUGGUCAUAAAAGACGGUGAUUCCCAUUUACGGAUAGCUCAUUCUGUUGGUGCGUUCAGUGCGCGGUAUGGCGUCGUUCGCGGCGCAAGCGGCUCUGCGGUCUCGCUGGAGUUCUCUCAUAGAGUCUACGAGUGUGGAUGUGCCAGGAGAAGUGACGGACGGCGUCCGUUCUGUCGUCGGAUGGCUGAAACAGGCUUCUCUCGAAGUACGUCAGGUGGGCCGGCGCGCCGUCAGUCAGUUGGCCGGCAGAGGAAUGGGGGACGAAGUCGUCAUUAUACACUUUAAUGAUGUUUAUAACAUCGAACCUACUACUACCACAGAGCCAGUGGGAGGUGCACUAAGGUUCAGCACAGCUGUGAAGGCGCUUCAGCAUCUGAACCCUUUAGUACUCUUCAGUGGAGAUGUGUUCUCACCUAGCAUGUUGAGCACGUUCACAAAAGGCGAACAAAUGGUGCCGGUGCUCAACGAAAUCGGAACGCAUUGUGCUGUGUUUGGCAACCACGACUUUGAUUUCGGCCUAGAAGUGCUAUCAGGCCUUGUAGCCCAAUGCAACUUCCCGUGGCUAAUGUCCAACGUGAUAGACAACGAGACCGGGCGGCCGCUGGGUGACGGCAAGAUCACCCACGCGCUCAUGUGUAACGGACAUAAGAUCGGCUUUAUUGGCCUGGUUGAACAGGAAUGGCUGGAGACUUUAGCUACGAUAAAUCCUGAGGAAGUCACGUUCAUAGACUUCGUGCAAGCUGGCACCAAGCUAGCCUCGCAAUUGAAACAAGAAGGUUGUGAAUACGUAAUAGCUUUAACGCACAUGCGGACACCGAACGACAUAAAGUUAGCUGAAGGUUGCAACGAUAUCGACCUCAUACUGGGAGGCCACGAUCACGUCUAUGAGGUGUUACAUAUAAACAACAAAUACGUAGUAAAAAGCGGCACAGACUUCCGUCAGUUCAGUAAGAUCAGCAUCAACUUUGCCGACGAGGGGGUACAGGUCGACAUCACAGAAGUCGGGGUCAACAGCUCCUAUGCCGAAGAUCUGGUGCUUAAGGAGAAGACUGAUAAGUAUUCUUCAAUGAUCGAAGGCAAAAUGGACGAAGUGUUAGGCAAGAUCUGUGUUCCUCUAGAAGGUCGGUUCUCCUGCAUCAGGAGACAGGAGUGCAACCUCGGCAACUGGGUGUGUGAUGUACUCCUGGCUGCCACCGGGGCUGACCUCGUGGUACUCAACUCUGGGACCUUCCGAUCUGAUCAGGUCCAUGCCGCCGGAGAUUUCACCCUCCGAGACCUAUCCACCAUCAUACCGAUGCGGGAUCCACUAGUUGUGGUAGAAGCGACAGGCGAAGUGAUACUGCAAGUGUUGGAGAACGCUGUCAGCAAGUACCCCAGUCUUGAAGGGAGGUUUCCUCAGGUAGCCGGUGUUUCCUUCGCCUUCGACCCGUCAAAGCCUGCAGGACAGAGAGUAGCAGAGCAAGUCGUGAAGAUAGGAGACGAGUACCUGCAGCGGCAGCAAGUGUACCGCCUGGCUAUCAAGCAGUACCUGUAUAGUGGGAACGACGGGUUUAAUAUGCUGCCCAAGUGUAAGAUAUUGAUCCCAGAAGACAUGUGUCCGGAGAUCGGCAUGGCGAUCCAGAACCACUUCGCGGCCAUCAACGUCCGCACCGGCCGCGCCCGACCCAGCAAGCAUCGACAGUCACUCGUCACGCUCAGCAGGAGGCACAGUCUAGUUAAAAUGCUAGACGGCAGUGUAGAACUGGACGGGCCGCCGCCACUGCGCCGCGCCUCGUCUGCCGCCGUAGAGCCUACUUCACAUGGACAUCACAGGUUAACCCGUCGAGCAUCGCUGGAUGAUCUCGAACAACAGUCAUGUGAACUAGCGCCUAAACUCGAAAACAGAAUCAUAGUACUCAACAAACCAGAGGAUAGUGACGGAAUAAUAGUAAAUGGAAAAACAGAUUAAAAAUAAACUUCGGUUGGGACAUAGAAUCUACAUGAUAUACAAACUAUUAGAAAAAUGUUUUGAGCUCCAAGCACUGAUAGCCGAGCGUACCCGCUGGGAGUCGGACACAGUCAUUCGGGAGGUCGACGACGAAGGAUCCCCCUAAGAACUACCCUCCCUGUACGGCUGUUUCGUGUGGUACAAACACUUCCAGUAGCCACCUGACACUAAAAAGUACCACACGACAAAAAAGUACCAAACAGGAGAAAGAAAAUUUUCAGUUCGCAAAGACAUUAAGGUAGGAAUUUAUUGUGAUUUUACGUGAAAAAUCUACCAGUGUAUUUUUUUUAACACCAAGUGGCUUUUUUUUUGUGGUACCAAAAAGUACCACUUGGAUAAAUUGAGUUUGCGAAUACCUGGUGUGCUGUUUUAAUAGUAAUUUAUUGUGCUAUUAUUUUUUAUGUAAAUUGAUAGAAAAAUAUUGUGAGUAUUAUGUUUUAAUAAUGUAACGUUCUACUUAAUUAAAAUAUAAUACUUUUAGUAUUUCAAUGAUAAUGAAGGCGACCUAACGGUGAAGUUUGUAAAAUUAAGCAAAAAAAUCAUUCAGCAGAUACAAACUAGAAGUCAAAACACCAAUAUCGUAAAAUAAUGUAAAUUAUGCCUUAUUUUACUAAAAUAUCAUCAUCACUUAAAAUAUUUAUUUGUGCCUGAAUAAGGCUUUCAAUUUAUUGUAUGAAGUGGGAAUCGAACCGUUCAUCAGUUUGUCACAGGUUGUCUCAAAAAGUCAUGAACCGCUUUGAUAAAGAAAAACGAGCUUGAAUUGAGAGAAAACUACGAAAAGUAUUAUCUUAUGAUAUCAACUCAACCGUCGCCUUCAAUCCUUAUGAGAAUAUCGAUGUUUUUGUAAACGAAUUUUAAAAUCGCAUAGUCUUAAUUAUUUAUCAUGUCGUAGUUAAAUCAAAUUGGCGUUACUGUUGCUUUUAACCGACUGCGACAUAAUCAAAUGUCAAAAAAUAUUGUCGUAAGUGUGGCAUUCUAAAAAUUCAAAUCCUCUUUCGAUUUAUAACUUUUAUGUUAUUUUUCAUACAAAUGAAGUAUUUAGUGAACAGUGGCGCCAUCUACAAUGUAAAUCCGUCUAUAUUUGCGUUCAAUUAUACUCAAAGAUCGUGUUAGCUCGGAAUAGAUAUCUACCUCAUGCAUAGUAUUCCAAUCUAUGUGAUAUAGACUGCUAUAGUGUUGGAAAACUUUCUUAAACCCAAUUCAACAAAAAUUUAAUGUCCUUUUGAAACCAGAAUCAGCUUUAUAAACAUACCUAAAAGAAAAUAAAAAGCGAGAAAUAAUCCUUCGCUCACUAUAAAAAAAUAUUUCUAAAAAGAUAGCCGGUCUUCUGCUCAUAAUUUCUGUUUUCCCAACACUAUAGUAGUCUAUAAUUUAUUUUGAAGUAUCUAGUAUUAAACGCUUUUAGGCUUUCAUAGUGUAAAGAGUGGGGACGUACAAAAAGUAAAACUUUAUUUCACAGAUUACAGCAAUAUAAACUCACUAAAUAAAACCUCUCAGUCAAUAUUUCACAGUUGUACAAAUUAUCACCUAUAUUCAUAUGAUUUUUCGAUUGCGCAAAGUGUCUCCACUCUAGAUAGGCCUGGUCUUCCGUUAAAUACUGUAAUGUAACUAAAACCCUGUUUCUGAAAGUCUGUUGAAAAUAUCAAAUAUGAUGUUAAACUAAUAUGCAAAGGUAGAUAAACGAGUACUUGAUAUAUUUUGAUGAACUUUCGGACACCGAGUUUACUCUGUUGUGUAUAUCUCAUCCUCAUCAUAAUUGGAUAGUCUUCUGGGCUUGUAAGCCCGCUGUCCGAUUGCUAUUUAAGAGUUUUUAGCAAGUAGAUAUACGAAUUUUACAUAGCUUGCAAGUGGACUAAAGAUAAAAGUGACAUUAUCUAAAUGUAUGCAAAUUAAUGAGGGUAUUAGCUUAAUUAAUUUCUUUCUUCAUUAUUUUAAGGAAACCUCUAUUAAAAAACGAGAUCUUGUCACUUUUAUCUUAAAAGAUAUAAUCGUCCUUAUUUGCCAAAACCACACAUAUCAUAAAAUCAAAAUACAAGUAUUUUGUCUCAAAACUUCCAUACACAAAUAAUUAUUAUUAUUAACAAAAAAAACAAUAUUAUUUACGAAAUCGUUAAUAGUAUUUUUUGGAGAAUAAAAAAUAGUUAUUAUGUUCAAUAUAAGUAAUCGAAUUUUUGAACUUUGCGCUUUUAACGAAAAAUUGCGCAAAGUUUGCGCAACAUUUUCUCUGCGCUAAAUAGUAGGCGAAGUAAUGUAAUUUAGAUAUAAGCGUUAAUAACCAGCUAGAUAGCUUAGUACUGCAGCAUAAUAACAUACAUAAUAAUGAACAGUCUUAUAUCAAACAUUAAUAUUGACACUGAUACCCAAAAUAUAUCUGAAAAAACUAUAUCUAUAAUCUACAAUAACUGCUACAUAAAGCUGAGAGAGACACUAUCAUUUCGAGACAUUUGAAAUAACUCAUAGUAUGAAAUAAAAAGAAAUUCAUACCGUAAAUAUACAAUGACUUCCGUAUUUACACUCACAAUAAUAUAAUACUUUACUAUCACAAACACCGCUACAACUGCCUUUACUGCUGUGCUAGGUAAUUACUAAUUACUAUGUAUUUUAUAAUAUGACACCAACUAAUAGACUAUUAAUUUGUACAGAAAGUUCGACUCUAAAAUGUUGUGAGUAUUUGAAAACAGAAGUGUCGGCUACAGCUUGAUUUUUGAGAAACAAGCAAUUUUCAACUACUAUAAAAAGUGUGAAUAAUUUUGCUUUCGGAGAGCAAUUCUUCUUGGCAUGCCAAUGGAAAAAGGUAUUUUAACAUGGAUUUUGUAAUGAACUUUCUGUACGUGAUAAACACAUGAAAUAAUCAACAAAUUAUGAUAGAAAUUAGGAAAACGAUAGUUGUGGUGUGAUCGAAUAGAUUUAGCGAUUUAGUUUGUUAUUUACAUUGAAUACUCAAGAAAUUAGCUACCAAAGUGAAAAUGGAACUUCAGUAUUUAUGUUAGAGCAUAAUUUACAAUAUCAGUCCCCAGUCUAAAAGCCCGUUUCACAGAAAUCUCAUUUAGUUCUGUCACCAAACUUAAUGGCGGCUCGCAAUCUUCAAAGCACAAGUACCAUUCCGAGCCGCUAGAAAGCUUGGUGAGAAAUAUACCAGAGAAGAAGAAAAAUAAAUAUUUUUCGGUAAUCUUGAAUUUCCAAAAUAAUAAAAGCUUAAUAUUUGAUAAGACACGCGCACAUUCCGUGUCGAUAUCUGAGAAAUUCUUUACACAAACACACACAUUUUACACACACACACACACACAAAUUCAGUAUUAAUAUACAGUACAAUGUACGUAUGAUAAGUAGCAAUUUUAUUUUCUAGUAUUUGGAACACUAACUUAUGUGAGUGCCUUUGCAAAGUAUAGUUUUUCUGCAAUUCAUUAGAUUAGUCGAAAGUACCAUUUUGGUACUUUUUAGUGACAGCACGAUAAAACACUGAGUGACAUUUAGUGGCACUGUUGGCACUUUUGAUGUCCAUGAAAAUGUGAAAAAAUAAUUAAUUUUGUGAUUUUAAAAAGCGUAGUUUCGUUAAUAUUUUUAAUACAGUUAAUUUUUUAUGAUUUUUGCGUUUACUGAUUACGUGGUUUUUAUAUUCGCAUGUUUUUUUUAUUCAAUAAUUAAUAUAGGUAGAAUUAAAAAAAAUAUUAAUUUUAUAAUAUUGUUAUCAAAAAUACAUGCUUAGUGAUCUGAUUAUAGAUAAAUAACACGCCUUAUUUAUUGAGCAAUAAGAUUGCUUUUGACGCUUGAUCAAAAAUAAUGUUUAUAUUACAUAAUUUAUUAUAAUUGUUGCGUAUUGUAAUUCUGAUGUUAUUAAGUUUUUUUUAAAGCCACACAUGUACAGUUGCGUGCAAUAACGCGUAUUCGCUUUGUAAUUUGAAAACCGAUUUCUUCGAAUAAGCUGGUUUGUACUUUGAAUCGGAACUUCUUUUGUAAUAUUAAGGGUCCGUACAAACAAACCGGGUCGGAGAGCAUCGCGCGCUUUUUUCUUUUCACAUAGACCGGAGCCGAUCGGCUGCGCGAGCAUUAAAGAGCAUGCAAUGGGAGCCGGUCGGCUCCUCUUAUUAUUUCACACCGAGCGCCUUCGAGCAUUCUUAGUGACAAAAGCAGUGCACAUCCAAAAAUAAACCUUACUACAAAUACUAAGUACUCGAUUUUCAACGUGUUAAGAAUUUGCUCUCCUCUCCGAGCCGGUCUAUCUGAACGGACCCUAACCCUAUGGCUUUCAGAAUCUUUCUUAUUAUGCUAGUGAAAACGUUGAGCUGUUUUAUCAAUACAUAGAGGAAAUCGGUGAUAAAUUAUUCUAAGUGUAUGCAUAGCAAAUUAUUGCACGUGAUUGUACCUACUUUUAUAUUAUUUUUCAUAUCGUUGUGAUUUUAUGGGUGCAACCAUUUAAUUUUAAUGUAACUAUCAUUAUCAUAAUUUUCAUGUUAAAACUAUAGUUAAUUUUGACAUAUUUAUAGUUAAUUUUAACACAAAAAGCUGAUAUUAUUUUUAUGAAUCGUAAGAAAUGGAUAUAUUUUAAAAUUGUAUCGUCUAGGAAGUAACAUAUGAAUAAUUAUUAAAUAAUAAGUGUUGUGAUGAAUAUAAACUAGAAUAUUAGCUAUAAAGACACGCACUCCAUUUUAUUAGUGCUAGAGCACUAUUAGUUUCGAAUGUUUUGGCGGGAAUCAUAGUUGAUUGUUAAAUCACAUACAAAAUGAUAGUUGAGUUCAAAUACACACGAAAAAAAACCUUUACAAAGUACAGUUUUUCUGCAACUCUUUAGAUUAGUCGAAAGUACCAUUUUGGUACUUUUUAGUGACAGCACGAUAAAACACAGUGACAUUUAGUGGCACUGUUGAUGUCCCUAUCUACAAUUUUGUGGAUUUUAAAGAAAGAAAAACAUUUGGAUGAAUAUGAAACAUGUUAAGAAAUACUUCCUUACCGCAUAUUCAAGGACCCAUUUUCAACACGGAUAAAUAUUGUCACAAGAAUUAUAAUGGCACAAAGUAUAGAGAAAAUGUGUCAAAAUAUGCCAUUAUUUUACUCUUUAAAUAAAAUUACAAGAGUAUUGAAAAGUUGACUCUUCAAAUGCGGUAAACUGAAUAUAUUGAUAUCCUAUAUCAUUUCAAAUCUUUGUAAAAUAUGAUUUCCGCCAAAAAGUUCGUAUUUAAGGCAUAAUUAGCACGCCAUUGCCAGUGAUUUCAGUGAAUCUUCGCUAGCGUACGAAUAUUGUGAUAUAUUUAUGAAUUACGUUGCUAUUGUUAUUGUUUUUUGAUUUGUCUAUUAUUAUUAAAGUUAGUGUGAAUAUU